GAUGAACGCUAGCGACAGGCCUAACACAUGCAAGUCGAGGGGCAUCGGGGAGCGAAGCUUGCUUUGCUCCGCCGGCGACCGGCGCACGGGUGAGUAACGCGUAUGCAACCUGCCCGUUUCAGCGGGAUAACCCGGAGAAAUCCGGCCUAAUACCGCAUGUGGCCGAGGGAAGGCAUCUUCUUUCGGCCAAAGGAGGCGACUCCGGAGACGGAUGGGCAUGCGUGACAUUAGCUUGUUGGCGGGGUAACGGCCCACCAAGGCGACGAUGUCUAGGGGUUCUGAGAGGAAGGUCCCCCACACUGGUACUGAGACACGGACCAGACUCCUACGGGAGGCAGCAGUGAGGAAUAUUGGUCAAUGGGCGCGAGCCUGAACCAGCCAAGUCGCGUGAGGGAAGACGGUCCUAUGGAUUGUAAACCUCUUUUGUCGGGGAGCAAAAGACGCCACGUGUGGCGUUCCGAGAGUACCCGAAGAAAAAGCAUCGGCUAACUCCGUGCCAGCAGCCGCGGUAAUACGGAGGAUGCGAGCGUUAUCCGGAUUUAUUGGGUUUAAAGGGUGCGCAGGCGGAAGAUCAAGUCAGCGGUAAAAUUGAGAGGCUCAACCUCUUCGAGCCGUUGAAACUGGUUUUCUUGAGUGAGCGAGAAGUAUGCGGAAUGCGUGGUGUAGCGGUGAAAUGCAUAGAUAUCACGCAGAACUCCGAUUGCGAAGGCAGCAUACCGGCGCUCAACUGACGCUCAUGCACGAAAGUGUGGGUAUCGAACAGGAUUAGAUACCCUGGUAGUCCACACAGUAAACGAUGAAUACUAAUUGUUCGGGGAGAAUGAUCCCUGAGUGAUACAGCGAAAGCGUUAAGUAUUCCACCUGGGGAGUACGCCGGCAACGGUGAAACUCAAAGGAAUUGACGGGGGCCCGCACAAGCGGAGGAACAUGUGGUUUAAUUCGAUGAUACGCGAGGAACCUUACCCGGGCUCAAACGACACAGGAAUACUUUUGAAAGGAGGUAGCUCUUAGGAGUCUGUGUCGAGGUGCUGCAUGGUUGUCGUCAGCUCGUGCCGUGAGGUGUCGGCUUAAGUGCCAUAACGAGCGCAACCCCCAUCGCCAGUUACCAGCAAGUCAAGUUGGGGACUCUGGCGAGACUGCCGGCGCAAGCUGUGAGGAAGGCGGGGAUGACGUCAAAUCAGCACGGCCCUUACGUCCGGGGCGACACACGUGUUACAAUGGCAGGUACAGAGAGAAGCAAUGCGGCGACGCAAAGCGGAACUUGAAAGCCUGUCUCAGUUCGGAUUGGAGUCUGCAACUCGACUCCAUGAAGCUGGAUUCGCUAGUAAUCGCGCAUCAGCCAUGGCGCGGUGAAUACGUUCCCGGGCCUUGUACACACCGCCCGUCAAGCCAUGGAAGCCGGGAGUGCCUGAAGUGUGCAACCGCAAGGAGCGCCCUAAGGUAAAACUGGUGACUGGGGCU
rnacentral:rRNA from 1 species